GAGGACAUCAACAAAAGAUAAACAACAGAAUUUUCGUGAUUUUUUUUUUCCUUUCUUUCUCAUUAUCUUCAGCGGGAUUGACAAGGUAUCACUUCCUCGCUAUAAUGAGCUUAAUUAGGAGAUCUUACUCGCACCUGCUCCAUAAGUAUCCUAUGGCUGUUCAGUCAAUACAAGCAGGCAUACUAAUGGGAGCAGGAGAUGUCAUUUCACAGUUUGCCAUUGAAAAAAAAUCUACGAGUCAGUACGAAUGGCAACGUACUGUUCGCUUCUUAGGCCUUGGCACUUUCUUUGUGGGUCCAACAUUGAAGGUAUGGUAUGGCAUACUAGAUCGCAGAAUUGGUUCAGGAUCAACUGUGAGAGCCUUGAAGAAAGUGGCUUUUGAUCAGGGCAUCUUCGCGCCGUGCUUCCUGGGGUCGUUCCUGACUGUACUGGGUGUCACUCAGGGGAAUAGUCCACAGAAGAUAAAAGAAGAGAUUAAGAAUAACUAUGUGGAUAUUAUAUUGACUAACUGGACUGUUUGGCCAGCUGUGCAGAUCUGCAACUUUGCCUUCGUCCCUUUGCAACACCAAGUUCUUAUUGUGCAGAUAUUUGCACUCUUCUGGAACACUUAUUUAGCCUGGAAGACAAAUACAGGAGCAAAAGAGCAGAUUAAGUUAUCAGAGGAUUGAUUUUUAGUUUAAUAUAAAGACAUAAACUGGAAAUAUCAAAUGUCCAUUUAGAGCUGUUGUUUUAUUUUUGAAAUGUAAUGUGCAAUAUAUAAAGGUAAGAUGAUUUUCAAAAAUGCUCAAACAUUCAGGGAAAAUUCACCUUUACAUAAUAAGGCAUUAAUUCAUGUGCUCUCUCUGUCAAGUGCCAUAUUUCAUUAAAUGUUUAUGGUGUGGUCAUACCUGGUAUCCUCUAUGUUUUAUCUACCCAUAUAUUAUUGUCUCAGCUUCUAAAAGUUAACUUUUUAGUCAGAAUAUUUAUGUGUUGAUAGUCAGAAAUGGAGUAAGAAAAUUGUCGCAAGAGUAAUAUCUGUUGGGUCGUAUAUGCUGUUGUGUCACAAUUCCUAUGGUGUGGGUCUAGUCCUUGUUUUGCGCAGUGUAGAAGGGGGCAAAGGUUGUGUUUGUUAUUGAAGAAUUGUGUGUGUUUAUUUAGGCUGCUAUUCUGUGUCUCCUGUUUUGGGUUCGAAAAAUGAAUUGCAUAAGUUUUUUUUUUUUAUUUCCAUUAUGUAUUUGUUAGUGAUUUUUGUUAUUUUUAUAUCUUAUGUAAGAUUAACACAUUUGUGAUGAAUGAAUUUGUUGUAGAAAACAAAUUUACAUGAAGUAUAUGUAGCAUAUAUAUUUUUCUUGUAAAUUAUAAAACACA
rnacentral:misc_RNA from 1 species